ACAUGAAAAACGAAAGAAAGCAAAAGAUAGAGACUUUCAGACAAAGAAUAUUUAAGUACCAACAUGUAGAUAUUUACAUAAAUAGAGAUAUAUUAAUCGAUCAAA